rfam:Oryza rufipogon genomic scaffold, chr10
UCUGUCCGCAACCAUAAGUUUCCGCGUCUAAUUUUGAUCGUCCGUCUUAUUUAAAAUUGUUUUAUAAUUAGUAUUUUUAUUGUCAUGAGAUGAUAAAACAUGAAUAGUACUUUAUACGUGACUUAUGUUUUUAAUUUUUUUUCAAAAUAUUUUUAAAUAAGAUGGAUGAUUAAAGUUGUCCAUGGAAAAUUAUGGCUGCACUUAAA